rnacentral:lncRNA from 1 species
GCAGACGAGGAUUCCAACUUUCCCUAGCCGAAAUGGGAUUGGAGAAUUUUGCCCUUUAUCAACCCUCAGUCAUAUAAAUACAUCCUAAAACACCACUUUGAGGAAGGAGAUACUACUUUAGGUUUAGACAACACUCUUGGAGACAAGAACACUGAUAGUAGGCUAUGUAGUUGAUAUUUACACCUUAAUAUGACCAUGCUUUAUUGUUGUUUUAUAGGCAAAUUACCAACAAAAUGCUCUAAAAAUUAUUUUUUUAUUUCGCAGGGAAUAUUAUAUGGGACGAAGCAGCAUGGAGAAUUUUGGAGGCGAUAAUGUGAAGAAAAUGCCUACUCGAGAAGUACCCGAGCACAAAGAAGCAGAAAAUGGCCUGGGCAAGGAGUCCACCGCGACCUUGUGGAACCGCGGUGAACCGCGGCAGAUUAAAAAUGUGAGGCAGAAAGGUUAUCUCUCACGCGGUCUGCUGCGAUCACAGUGCACUGUUCACGCUGCUGAAAGUUUGGGGACCAAAAUGUAAUUUUAGAGAAGUUGUUGUAAAACCUUUAUAAGCUUUAGAUACUCGCCCAAGAUUGUUUUAAGCUUGUUUUAGACUACUUUUGGAGAAGAACAAGUGUGAGGCGACGAUCCAAAUAUUAGAGUUUUUUUCUAUCUUCUUUUAAUUCUUGCAAUUUUACAUUAUGAACG